UACGAAGGGGGCUAGCGUUGCUCGGAAUGACUGGGCGUAAAGGGCGCGUAGGCGGCUUGCACCGUCAGCUGUGAAAUUCCUGGGCUUAACCUGGGGGCUGCAUUUGAUACGUGUGGGCUUGAGUGCGGAAGAGGGUCGUGGAAUUCCCAGUGUAGAGGUGAAAUUCGUAGAUAUUGGGAAGAACACCGGUGGCGAAGGCGGCGACCUGGUCCGUGACUGACGCUGAGGCGCGAAAGCGUGGGGAGCAAACAGG
rnacentral:rRNA from 1 species